rnacentral:rRNA from 1 species
GACGAACGCUGGCGGCGUGCCUAAUACAUGCAAGUUGAGCGCUGAAGGUUGGUACUUGUACCAACUGGAUGAGCAGCGAACGGGUGAGUAACGCGUGUGGAAUCUGCCUUUGAGCGGGGGACAACAUUUGGAAACGAAUGCUAAUACCGCAUAAAAACUUUAAACACAAGUUUUAAGUUUGAAAGAUGCAAUUGCAUCACUCAAAGAUGAUCCCGCGUUGUAUUAGCUAGUUGGUGAGGUAAAGGCUCACCAAGGCGAUGAUACAUAGCCGACCUGAGAGGGUGAUCGGCCACAUUGGGACUGAGACACGGCCCAAACUCCUACGGGAGGCAGCAGUAGGGAAUCUUCGGCAAUAGACGAAAGUCUGACCGAGCAACGCCGCGUGAGUGAAGAAGGUUUUCGGAUCGUAAAACUCUGUUGGUAGAGAAGAACGUUGGUGAGAGUGGAAAGCUCAUCAAGUGACGGUAACUACCCAGAAAGGGACGGCUAACUACGUG